UGGAUAAGUUAUAAAGAGCGCACGGAGGAUGCCUAGGCGCUAGGAGCCGACGAAGGACGUGGCGAACGACGAUAUGGCCUCGGGGAGCCGUAAGCAGGCUUUGAUCCGGGGAUGUCCGAAUGGGGAAACCCACACGGCGUAAAAACCGUGUACCUGCACACUGAAUACAUAGGUGUGAGGAGGCAGACCAGGGGAACUGAAACAUCUAAGUACCCUGAGGAAAAGAAAACAAUAGUGAUUCCGUUAGUAGCGGCGAGCGAAUGCGGAACAGCCUAAACCGGCGUGCUUGCACGCCGGGGUCGUGGGACGUCAUCACGGCGAAGAGCUGCGUAGUCGAAUGGUCUGGAAAGGCCAACCGAAGAAGGUAAUAGUCCUGUACGCAAAAUGCAGCUCCAGCCAGACGGAUCCCGAGUACCGCGGGGCACGUGAAACCCCGUGGGAAUCCGGCAGGACCAUCUGCUAAGGCUAAAUACUACCUAGCGACCGAUAGCGAAGCAGUACCGUGAGGGAAAGGUGAAAAGCACCCCGGAAGGGGAGUGAAACAGAACCUGAAACCGUGCGCUUACAAGAAGUCAGAGCCCUCUAUAUGGGUGAUGGCGUGCCUUUUGUAGAAUGAACCGGCGAGUUACGUUCCCGUGCGAGGUUAAGUCGAUGAGACGAAGCCGCAGCGAAAGCGAGUCUGAAUAGGGCGACUUACAGUACGUGGACGUAGACCCGAAACCGGGUGAUCUACCCCUGUGCAGGGUGAAGGUGCGGUAACACGCACUGGAGGCCCGAACCCACGAGCGUUGAAAAGCUCGGGGAUGACGUGGGGGUAGGGGAGAAAUUCCAAUCGAACUCGGAGAUAGCUGGUUCUCCCCGAAAUAGCUUUAGGGCUAGCCUCGGAGUAAAGAAUUGCGGAGGUAGAGCACUGAUUGGGUGCGGGGCCCGCCAAGGGUUACCAAGUCCAGUCAAACUCCGAAUGCCGCGUAUUCGUAUCCGGGAGUCAGACGGUGAGUGCUAAGAUCCAUCGUCAAAAGGGAAACAGCCCAGAUCAUCAGCUAAGGUCCCCAAGUGUGUGUUCAGUGGGAAAGGAUGUGGAGUUGCACAGACAACCAGGAUGUUGGCUUAGAAGCAGCCACCAUUGAAAGAGUGCGUAAUAGCUCACUGGUCGAGUGACUCUGCGCCGAAAAUGUAACGGGGCUAAACACACCACCGAAGCUAUGGCUUG
rnacentral:rRNA from 1 species